rnacentral:rRNA from 1 species
GGCCCCUUGUUUGAAUAUUAAGAAAUAUAGGGGGUCGUACCUGCUCAAUGACUUAGUGUUAAAUAGCCGCGGUAUUUUGACCGUGCAAAGGUAGCAUAAUAAUUUGCCUUUUAAUUGGUGGCUUGUAUCAAGGGUGUGAUGAAAGUAGAUCUGUCUCUUAUUUUAUUUUAUUGAAAUUAUCUUUUAGGUGAAAAGGCCUAAAUUAUUCUAUUAGACAAGAAGACCCUAUCGAAGUUUAAGUUAAUAAGGUUUUUGGGUUAACUCUAAAAUAUUUUUUCGCUUUUAGUUGGGGCAACUAAGGAACAUAAAAAGCUUCUUGAUUUUUUGUUUUUGCUGACGGGUUUUGAUCCAUAUUUAAUUGAAUAUGAUUAAUGAAAAAAGUUACCGUAGGGAUAACAGCGUAAUUUCUCUUGUGAGACCUCAUUAAAAGAGGAGUUUGCGACCUCGAUGUUGGAUUAAGGUAUCCUAGAGGUGCAGUAACUUCUAAGGGUUGGUUUGUUCAACCAUUAAAAUCUUACA